GCCCCGGCCCGAGGGGAGGGCGCGGGGUGGCGGAGCCUCGUCCGCUCGACGGCCGGGUUGGCGGGCCCUGGUGCGACCCGCAGGGAGGCGGUGAGGGUGGCUGUGGCAGCAGUGCCCCAGGUCCCUGCUGGAGCGGGAUCAGUUGCGUGCAGGGCUUGAGGAAGGGAAAACAGCCCGUGUGCCCGGGGGCUGGGCACGGGCUGAGCUGGAGGCAGCAGCAGCAAGGAUUUUUUUAUGUUUUGGGAUGUGGAGGUUCAUAGGUGGAGGUAAUGAGGGAGUAGGAGGUUUGUUUUGGUUUGGGUUUUUUUCCUAUAUUCUUUGCCCUGUGAGAUUGAACUGUUCACCUGUCUCAGAUCUGGAGAGUGAAGUAAACUUGAGAAAGCUUGGGAGUACAGUCUGUUUACUUGUUUCCUGAGUGGCAGUAGGAAUUUCUUCCCUUUUCUUUUCUUACUGCUAUGCUGUUACAGGUGUUUCUUCCAAACUGAGAUGGAUGAAGAGGUGUUGUCAUUUACUACUGAUGUUCUGUCUUUUACAAGUCCUGUGUCUGGUGGAUUUAUGUAGUGAUUGCUGGCCUGUUUGCCAAUAAGUGUGACGUUUGUUUUGCUACUUCUUUACUUAUAUAGUUUCUUUAUUGAGCUUUUGGUUCCAAAGAUGGUAGAUUGGAAGCUGCUGUUUAGUCUGAACUCUUGAUAUUCUUUCAGCUGCGAUGCAAGGGGACCAGCAAGUUUUCUAAUAUGUUAAUGCUUGCACUGUGUCUCAGGAAGGAUGAGACAUCCAGGGCUCCAGGAAGGUACAUCUCCAUAGCACUUGUCCCAUCAGAUGUUGUUAACAGCUGUUGGAGACUUUUACCUGAUUUCUUUUUAAUGGUAACUUGGAUAGAUUUCAUCCUGUAGUGUCUUUUUGCGUCAUUGUAGCAUCUCAUAUCGCUCAAUAUUAAAGUUGGCAUCUGAACUUUAAUCCAAGAAUGAAUUAUUCUGAAAGUCACUAGUGUGUUAAAAGUCUAGUUGAUUAGUCCCCACUGUGUAGGCUUGGGUAAUUUUAUUUCAGAUUUUUUUUUUUUACUUCAGAUAUUUUUGUUUCCAUUUUGAAACACUGAAUUCUGCCCUUUGCAGCUCAAUUUUCACGUAAAUUUACAGUAUGGACCAGAUGUUUGUUUUCUUUCAAGGAGUGCCCCUGUGGCCCUUUUAUACAUUCUUGUUCAUCUCAAACUUUGAGUUGCUCUACAUGAAUAGUGUGUUUGGUUUGGGUUUUUUUGUUUUUUUUUUUGUAAAGUUAGUGUGUCUAGACAGAUUUGAGUGGUACCAAAAUCCAAAAGAAGAAAGUUAUUAAAGCCUUUUAAAAAAUGCCUAUGUGCCUGAUGCUAAAUAAAGAAGACCUUGGAUUGAAUAAACACUGAUAGGACCUGAAGUUUCCGUUCUGCACUUGAGAGAUACUUCAGUUUGCUUUCUUUGGAGGGCCUGAUUACAGCUGGUUUGGUGCUUAUCUUGUUUUGAUUCUGUUAACUUUGGUAGGCCUUGAUUUGAUUUUUUACUUUUUUUUUGAACCCUCUUAAAUUUUGGAAAUAGAGUUCUGGAAGAUACUUAAAUGUGUGAAGUAUUUGCAUUUUGCCCUGUCUCGGUGUCAGUCCUGGCCACCUGCAGUGGAGGGCCCCAAGGCAGGUGUGGUGACAUGCAGGCAGAUGGUGCAGGACUGCCCACUGUGCCUGGGCUUGCAGGGCAGCAUGGAAAGCUGUAAGCAGCUGUGCUUUUGUCACAAGUCUGUCUUGGAUCUGAAGCAGGUAUUUUUGCUAGAAAUGGUCCUGGUGUUUCACUGUAGUAGUGAUGAGCUAACCUACCAGUAUGGUGCCAUGGCAAGCAGGGGAGUAAGGGAAGAACUGGACAAGCUGAGGCUCUUCAAGACAUAACCUAGAGCAGAAGUGCUGGCUGUGCUGGAGACCAUUUCCCUUCCCUAAGAGAAGUGAUCUCAGCUGGCCUGAGGCCAGCUGAAAAGUUAUGUUCUCCCUAGAUGAAUUGUAAAGAUCCUUCUCUUCCAGCAAAAAAAAAAAAAAAAACCCAAAAAAAAACCAGCUGUACUUGUUGCAAUCAUUUUUUUCCCCUGUGGUUGAAUAUUAGGGUCAACACUUUCCCUGGCAGAUUUUCUGGGUUGUAUGGAAACCAUGGCCCACUGUAGCUGCUGCCCUGCUUGGAGCCUUUGCCAGAGUACUGGCUUUCUUUUAACACUUUUGGAAGUCAUUUGUGAAGAUCAAAAGUUACCAGUGUAUUGAGCAAUGCAAAACUUGUUUCCCUGUAUCCAGGCUGAGAUUCAUUUGGCACUCUCAGGUGUUAACCUUCAUUUUUCAGAUAAUGAAGGUGUGCAGCUGUGGAAGUGGUUUGAACAACUGUGGCAUCCAUGUGUAUGAAAAUGAAGUAAUUAUGCAUGCCAGAUACCAUCAAACAAAGGGUGGCCUACUAUGUCUCCUUUCCACUGAAUUAGGCCAGUGUGCAAUAGUAGCUUUCACUGACUAGAUGUGUAGUAGCUACAAAUCUCUAGCUCUGGCAGUGGGAGCUGUGCUGAGGAUUGAGAGUACUGAAGUGCCAUAAAUUGCAGAACUCAUCUCGAAGACCAGGGCUGGGAAAGUUUGAAUGAGAACUAAGGCCUGUUGUUUUUUGACAGUGAAUGGAUUGACCAUUGGAACGAGCUGUCUGGAGGUAGAGGGGAACCUCCAUUCUUUGUGCUCCAAUUCAAGGCCACAAACUUUUCUGAAAGAUGUUCAAGCCUUUGGGCUCGACUAAGGAAAUGGAAACUUUAGGGCCAGCAUUACGUGAGGUUGAGACCAGAUGGUCUGAUGGGCUUUGUGAAUUCAGGUUUAAUGUGUCUAUGCUGCUAGAGCCAAGAUAACUAACUUGUCCAUUCUCUGCAAAGUGCCAUGUCAUCCCAGGUGUGUCUGUCCUGGUGUGAGUACAUGGUUUGAUGAGCAGCUGAGCUGACCAACAGCCCCAAUGGCUCAUCUCAUUCCUGCUUCUGCCAGUGUGGACUCAUCCUCUUCUUGGAGCUUUGGUAUUCAUCCACCCUGGCCCUGAGCUAAUUCAUCUCACUAAACCAGCCAGAAACUAUAAUCUUGUUUUAAUUGUGUUUUAUUCUGGCUGUGUUAGUCCCUUUUAUAGGUUCCUGUGGUUGAAUCAGCUUGCAGAAGGGCCAGACAGGCUCAGGAACUGGUGUAACGUAAUCAGCAGGAGAGCAAGACCGAGAGGGAAGGACAGGCCUGCCUCCUUUUGGCCUCCCAGAACUGUUGGCUUGGUUAGCCUCAUUUGUGUAGUUUCACACUGGUGCAUUUUCUUAUGGCUCCCAGGCAGAGGCAGGAGACUGGACUAGAGGAUUUUUGGUCUGAUCCUGUGAAACUGUUCUUUUCCUUAAUAGCAGAUCUGUUCUUCCUCUUUGGCUUUUGCUGUAUGUGUCCCUGUUAAUGCUUCUUUGUUUUAAUUUUUGUUCUUUCCUUUCUCUACAUUUCUUCUAAGUGACCAGUCCUUUGCUGUGUGGAACUUCUUCAGACUCCAGCUUAGACCCGUUUGCUCAUCUGCAGUUACUCUUGGAGAAGGUUUAAAAAUACACAGCAAAGCCUGUCUUAGGAGACCAGUCAAGGAGCUGACGAAACUUUGUAGGGUGCCAUAGCUCCAGCAAGUGCUUCCCUAAGUAAUCAGCGCCUUCAGCCUUGCACAUUGUGAUCUCACAAGCCAUCGCGUCUGUGAUGUCACAAUGGAAGAGAUUCUGGUGCUCUGACAUGUGGGGUCGUGCCUUUGACAAAUCAGCCAAGGAACCCAGCGGCAAGAAUGAGCUCAAGAAAUGGGAGAGACCUUCCUUAACCCAAGAGUGCCCUCCAUCCUUUAGUCAGCCUUUUCCGUGUUCACUUACCUCUUCCCUAAUGGCCAUACAGAGGGAAACCAGUGCCUGUAUAGGGUGAAUUAAUUUUUUCAGUUGACCUACCAUGAUGCAUGUUUCUCCCAGAUGAGCAGUUGCCCAACUCUCCUCCUGUACCCCUCAUUCUUUUCUGUUGUUCCCCUCACUUGUAUUGCUUCUAAUUUUAGACUGUAAGUUCUUGAGAACAGGGACCUCCUCAUCUGUAGUGGGAAGAGCCUGGGUGUGAUUGUGGAGUACUGUAAAAACAAAACAAUGAAUGCCAAGUUGUAUCUGAGCUGAGUAAUGAUGGGGCAGCAUAUAGAUGUGCCAUGACAUUACAAAUUUUCCAAAACACAGGCGUGGUUGUCUAGCAGUGCUGGAGACAAACCCAGCCAAACGUGAAGGGAGUGCAGCCAUGAAGUGUACUGUUCUCAUGUUGAAGUGAUGAUACUGUGAGGUUAACAAAUUAAAGAAAGAAGCAAAUCUACCUGUCUAAAAUUGUGUUACUUUAUUAAACAGUUCUAAAAGCUU